AUACAAGGGAAACCUAUGCAGUGCUUUAGGAGACAGAUGCUUGACUGGCAUCAUCCCCAGCAACAGAGUAAGAGAAGCAAGUUGCUCUGAUUAUGGUCUCUGCACUUAGCCUCCAUGCAGCUGAUAGCAGAGAAACUUACUGCAUGACAGCCCCACUUAAUGCUGCAAGGAAGAAAAGCUGGGACAAAUGGGAAACUUCUAACAGCAGUAUUUACUCCCAUGGUGAAUGUACCAUGAACUAUCAGCCAGAGCAGGACUGCAAGAGGUUGAUAUAAAACAUGUAUGGUAAACAGUAAGCAUACUUACAUCUACCAUUCUCUGAACAUGCUUGCUAAUGAUCUUUGGAUCAGGUUUUGGGGCUACACCAGAAGCCCAGUCUGCUACUACUGGUGGUUUUGAAGGCGUCAAAGGCUAAAAGAAGAAUUAUAUGUAUAUUCAAACUUGUUUUUUGUGCUAUUGAAGGAAAAAGAAUGGUAAUGCUAGAUUACCAACACGCUAUCUGUUCUGAGUGAUUAUUACUAGAUGUUUUGAACAAUCCUUACAAACCUUUCAGCAUACCACAUGUAUUGGAAAUGUAUAAUAAGCCAGAGAGUGAUAAAUAACUUUGCAUAUCUUA